rnacentral:snRNA from 1 species
GGAUGUGAGGAACAUCAGGCUGUGCGUCUGUCACCCCAUUGAUCACCAGGGUUGAUUUGGUUGAUCUGGCUGACUAGGCAGGUGCCCCCUUCCUCCCUCACCAUUCCAUGAGCUUCCCUCCCAAAGCUGCAUGCUUGGCUUGGUUGAAGAGGAUGACCAUCCCCGAUAGAGGAGGACAGGUCUUCAUUCAAGGGUAUAUGAGUAGCUGCGUUCCCCACUAGAACCUCCAAACAUGAUUAAGAGAAGCUAAAUUCUGAAAGACCUGAUAGAGAAGUUGUAACCUAUAACUUCGUAUC